AUCACUUAUCAGUCCUCUCCAUCCCACCCUCUACCAGUGAUUUAAAACUGCAGAGUCCAGCCUGGUUUGGGGGGGCACUAAGAAAUUGACAGGUGAGGGGGGGCAGAAGGCUGGAUUCCCGCUCCAACUCCACUGAGUGAGAAAUGGAAAGAAAAAGGCCAAGGGAGGUCAGGGAGAAUGACUGCUUUUCUGAGGACAUU